rnacentral:rRNA from 1 species
UUGACGGGGGCCCGCACAAGCGGUGGAGUAUGUGGUUUAAUUCGAUGCAACGCGAAGAACCUUACCUGGUCUUGACAUCCCGGAGACCCUUAGGAAACUAGGGGUGCUUCCAUCUGGAAGAAUCUGGAGACAGGUGCUGCAUGGCUGUCGUCAGCUCGUGUCGUGAGAUGUUGGGUUAAGUCCCGCAACGAGCGCAACCCUUGCCUUUAGUUGCCAGCAGUUCGGCUGGGCACUCUAAAGGGACUGCCGGUGUUAAACCGGAGGAAGGUGGGGAUGACGUCAAGUCCUCAUGGCCUUUAUGACCAGGGCUACACACGUACUACAAUGGCCGAUACAAAGGGCAGCGACACUGCGAGGUGAAGCCAAUCCCGUAAAAUCGGUCUCAGUCCGGAUUGGAGUCUGCAACCCGACUCCAUGAAGUUGGAAUCGCUAGUAAUCGUGGAUCAGCAUGCCACGGUGAAUACGUUCCCGGGCCUU